UAGGGAAUUUUGGGCAAUGGGCGAAAGCCUGACCCAGCAACGCCGCGUGUGGGAUGAAGGCCCUCGGGUCGUAAACCACUGUCAGGAGGAAAGAAAAGUCGGCCGGAUAAUACUCGGUCGACCUGACGGUACCUCCAAAGGAAGCACCGGCUAACUCCGUGCCAGCAGCCGCGGUAAUACGGAGGGUGCAAGCGUUGUUCGGAAUUACUGGGCGUAAAGCGCGCGUAGGCGGCAAUUCAAGUCAUCUGUGAAAUCUCCGGGCUUAACUCGGAACGGUCAGAUGAUACUGCUUUGCUAGAGUGCAGAAGGGGCAAUCGGAAUUCUUGGUGUAGCGGUGAAAUGCGUAGAUAUCAAGAGGAACACCUGAGGUGAAGACGGGUUGCUGGGCUGACACUGACGCUGAGGCGCGAAAGCCAGGGGAGCAAACGGGAUUAGAUACCCACGUAGUCCCUGAGCGGGCUGGCAAGGCGCAU
rnacentral:rRNA from 1 species